rnacentral:rRNA from 1 species
CCUACGGGAGGCAGCAGUGAGGAAUAUUGGACAAUGGAGGAGACUCUGAUCCAGCCAUGCCGCGUGUAGGAAGAAUGCCCUAUGGGUUGUAAACUACUUUUAUACAGGAAGAAACACUGGUAUGUAUACCAGCUUGACGGUACUGUAAGAAUAAGGACCGGCUAACUCCGUGCCAGCAGCCGCGGUAAUACGGAGGGUCCGAGCGUUAUCCGGAAUCAUUGGGUUUAAAGGGUCCGCAGGCGGUCGAUUAAGUCAGAGGUGAAAUCCCAUAGCUCAACUAUGGAACUGCCUUUGAUACUAGUUGACUUGAGUCAUAUGGAAGUAGAUAGAAUGUGUAGUGUAGCGGUGAAAUGCAUAGAUAUUACACAGGAUACCGAUUGCGAAGGCAGUCUACUACGAAUAUACUGACGCUGAUGGACGAAAGCGUGGGGAGCGAACAGGAUUAGAUACCCUGGUAGUCCACGCCGUAAACGAUGGACACUAGUUGUUGGGAUUUAUCUCAGUGACUAAGCGAAAGUGAUAAGUAUCCUACCUGGGGAGUACGGUCGCAAGACUGAAACUCAAAGGAAUUGACGG